CUGAAUUUUGCGGUCCCCACGUUACCUAUUCCCCUCCCCCACAGACACUCAGCACGAGGAGCCAUUUUGGAUGGAGCAAAGCCAUUUUAAUUUCUGCAGAGACUGAUUACAUGAUGGAAACCAGGCCCUUUGGUCACAACAACAUGGUGGACAGAGUCAGAGGGUGAUACUCCUGUGAAAGGAGCUUCACAGAAGAGAGGCUGGUCUGCAGCAGAGACUCUUGCUGUAGAAAAAAAUGAGAAAAGGUUCAUAGAAGGUGGCAAAGUUCCUGGUAAGGUGGAUUGUAUUGCGUGUAUUGAAUCUUCACCAAAAGAACUUGAACAAAGGACGUGGAAAGCAGUUAAGGUCUAUGUCACAAACAGAAUCGGAGCACUGAGGCACCAGAGUGCUGAAAGACUUUACGUUUUGGUUUAAAACACACAGUUGCACGUUUCAGUGCUGUUUUUUCAUGUUUCAUGUUGAAGCUCAUAUUUAGUUUACCCUCGGCUGGCCCAGUGUAAACUAAAUUGAGUACUUUACAUAUUUGUGCACAACGGCACUUUUCAUUUCAUUAUGGAUUGUAGGAAGGUCAGUACAAGACAAAAUAAUAAUGUGAAUUGCUUUUUUUACAUUAUAAAACAUUUGGAUAAAUGGAAUACUUGGGAUUUUUUGUUUAGAAAUAAACAAUCACUGCCCCAUUUGCAGUUUUUUGUUUUUGUUUUGUUUAUUAGGUGAUGGGAUAUAUGCCAUGACAUUUUGCUGCCAUGCAAAAUGUCUUGUGUUUUAAAUAAAGAGCUUAAACACAGAAAAAUGUUGUUUGGAUUGAGAAAUUUAACUGUGUUUGAGGUACACUAUCACCAUAGCUGCUGUAGUAUUAUAGCUGUUCUGUUUAACAUGGUAGGAAAUGUUAAUAAUUUGUGGUAAAAAGUAAAAUUGCUAAUUUAAAUAGGAGGGUCCCCACAGGAAUAGCAAAAUUCAGGUCAUUUUUUUCAUGUGAGUGUUUUUAAUAUAUCAAGUGAUUUUCCUCUUCACAAAAAAUUUACAUGAAUUUAGCAAUUAAAAUCA